rnacentral:rRNA from 1 species
AACGCGAAGAACCUUACCUGGGCUCGAAAUGGAGUGGACCGGAGUAGAAAUAUUCCUUCCCCGCAAGGGGCCGCUCUAUAGGUGCUGCAUGGCUGUCGUCAGCUCGUGUCGUGAGAUGUUGGGUUAAGUCCCGCAACGAGCGCAACCCUUAUUACCAGUUGCUACCAUUUAGUUGAGCACUCUGACGAAACCGCCUCGGAUAACGGGGAGGAAGGUGGGGAUGACGUCAAGUCCUCAUGGCCUUUAUGUCCAGGGCUACACACGUGCUACAAUGGCCGGUACAAACCGCUGCAAACCCGCGAGGGGGAGCUAAUCGGAAAAAGCCGGCCUCAGUUCGGAUUGGAGUCUGCAACUCGACUCCAUGAAGCUGGAAUCGCUAGUAAUCGUGGAUCAGCAUGCCACGGUGAAUACGUUCCCGGGCCUUGUACACACCGGAGUA